ACGAACGCUGGCGGCGUGCUUAACACAUGCAAGUCGAACGGAAAGGCCCUGCUUGCAGGGUACUCGAGUGGCGAACGGGUGAGUAACACGUGGGUGAUCUGCCCUGCACUUCGGGAUAAGCCUGGGAAACUGGGUCUAAUACCGGAUAGGAGCCAUUCUUAGUGUGAUGGUUGGAAAGUUUUUUCGGUGUAGGAUGAGCUCGCGGCCUAUCAGCUUGUUGGUGGGGUAAUGGCCUACCAAGGCGGCGACGGGUAGCCGGCCUGAGAGGGUGGACGGCCACAUUGGGACUGAGAUACGGCCCAGACUCCUACGGGAGGCAGCAGUGGGGAAUAUUGCACGAUGGGCGGAAGCCUGAUGCCGCGACGGCGCGUGGGGGAUGACGGCCUUCGGGGUGUAAAAUCCUUUCGCUAGGGACGAAGCUUUUUGUGACGGUACCUAGAUAAGAAGCACCGGCUAACUACGUG
rnacentral:rRNA from 1 species